CUGGAGGUAUCAGAAGUGCGAAUGCUGACAUAAGUAACGAUAAAGCGGGUGAAAAGCCCGCUCGCCGGAAGACCAAGGGUUCCUGUCCAACGUUAAUCGGGGCAGGGUGAGUCGACCCCUAAGGCGAGGCCGAAAGGCGUAGUCGAUGGGAAACGGGUUAAUAUUCCCGUACUUGGUGUUACUGCGAAGGGGGGACGGAGAAGGCUAUGUUGGCCGGGCGACGGUUGUCCCGGUUUAAGCGUGUAGGUGUGUGUUCCAGGUAAAUCCGGUUCACUUUAACACUGAGGCGUGACGACGAGGCACUACGGUGCUGAAGCAACAAAUGCCCUGCUUCCAGGAAAAGCCUCUAAGCAUCAGGUAACAUCAAAUCGUACCCCAAACCGACACAGGUGGUCAGGUAGAGAAUACCAAGGCGCUUGAGAGAACUCGGGUGAAGGAACUAGGCAAAAUGGUGCCGUAACUUCGGGAGAAGGCACGCUGACAUGUAGGUGAAGUGAUUUACUCAUGGAGCUGAA
rnacentral:rRNA from 1 species